UAGUUCAGUGGUUAAGAGCACUGACUGCUAUUCCAGAGGUCCUGAGUUCAAAUCUCAG
rnacentral:tRNA from 1 species